rnacentral:rRNA from 1 species
GACCAACGCUGGCGGCGUGCCUAAUACAUGCAAGUAGAACGCUGAAGAGAGGAGCUUGCUCUUCUUGGAUGAGUUGCGAACGGGUGAGUAACGCGUAGGUAACCUGCCUUGUAGCGGGGGAUAACUAUUGGAAACGAUAGCUAAUACCGCAUAACAAUGGAUGACCCAUGUCAUUUAUUUGAAAGGGGCAAAUGCUCCACUACAAGAUGGACCUGCGUUGUAUUAGCUAGUAGGUGAGGUAACGGCUCACCUAGGCGACGAUACAUAGCCGACCUGAGAGGGUGAUCGGCCACACUGGGACUGAGACACGGCCCAGACUCCUACGGGAGGCAGCAGUAGGGAAUCUUCGGCAAUGGGGGCAACCCUGACCGAGCAACGCCGCGUGAGUGAAGAAGGUUUUCGGAUCGUAAAGCUCUGUUGUAAGUCAAGAACGAGUGUGAGAGUGGAAAGUUCACACUGUGACGGUAGCUUACCAGAAAGGGACGGCUAACUACGUG